GGCAAGAUGGGUCACCAGCAGCUCUACUGGAGUCACCCGCGGAAGUUCGGCCAGGGUUCUCGCUCUUGGUAAGAAACCGGUUGUGGAGACCGCGGUUAGAGGGAAGGGCCACUGUUGGUGGCGGGUUGUCCGAAAUUCAAGGCUCGCGGCUGGCGCGCCGCGCAGGGCCCUCGGAGCCGCCGUCGCCAUUACGGACUGGUGCUAGGCCGGGUGGGUCCUGCUUGCCGGUGGUGCGAGUGGAGGAAUGCUGUAACAUGUGGGGCCUGCAUAAACGCCUUCUCUUUCUCCUUCCUCCAGCCGCGUCUGCUCUAACCGCCACGGUCUGAUCCGUAAAUACGGGCUGAACAUGUGCCGACAGUGCUUCCGUCAGUACGCGAAGGACAUAGGCUUCAUUAAGGUACCCGCGGUUGGGCGGGAGCGUUAAGACCCACACCCACACAGCGGAGGGUUUAAGCAAUCAAGAGUUCCAGAAGUGCAGGGUGAAGGAUUUAAUGCCUGGUCAGAUUUAGGUGUCAGGUGGCUGAAAAUGUUUAACGUAGGAGAUAGUAUAUUUUCUACAUAGUAGCUGAGUAUAUUCUAACCGAAUUUCUGACGGGGGAAUGUUUGAUACUGGGAAGAGCCAUGUUUCAGGCCUUAAUAACCACGAACCACCAAGGUUGUGGGUGAUCACAUUAGUCCUACUUGAAACGUUAAUUCCUCAAAAGUCACUUUUUUGACCAAAGACAUUUUCUAAUAAAAUUAAAUUAUAAAAUUCACCUGCUUUUUAAU
rnacentral:lncRNA from 1 species